rnacentral:lncRNA from 1 species
UUGCUUCCAAUUGCUUCUACGGUGUGCUGGUGACGGGAGGGGAACAACCACCAUCUCUCUAUAUGUUUACCCAUUUACCAGGAAAUAUGUUUAUACUGUUUUCCAAUCAGGAUUUACCACAAGCCGGGAGUUCCACACCUAAUGACCAGGCCAAACCCAGCCCACUGUCAACAGAGAAAAGUCGGCCUCAAACAUGAGAGAUUUUAAAUCACAAUGGACGUUCGAGGAGCAUGACUGCCAGCACUGUGAGCAGCAGGGCUGUCUCCAGCCGUCGACAGGGAUGCCGGCUUCAUCUUCCACAGCCCGCAGGCAGUUCCAGGCACCCCUUCUUGCUGGCAAAAUGGAAAAUAGAAAACCAUCUUGGACAACCAGCUAUAGCGCGUACCAACAAAUAAAAAGAAGACAUUCUGGAGUUCCCGCUGUGACACGGGGGGUUAGGACCCUGAUUACAGAUGCCUGGGUUGCUGUGGAGGCAUGAGUUGAAUUGCCGGCCCAGGGCAGUGGCUUAAAGGAUCUGUCACCGCCACAGGCGCAGCGUAGAUCACAGCUGUGGCUCAGAUUCAAUCCCUGGCUUGGGAACGUCCAUAGGCCACAGAUGUGGCCACCAAAAAAAAAAAAAAAAAAAAAAAAAAAAGCUGCCCAAGAAUCCCCAAGAUCCCCAUUGCAGAACUGUUCAGACCACACACUGUUCUGGUGAAGAGUACAGCCUGGAGUCAGGGCGCCUGGAUGUGAACCCUGGUUCUGAUACUUAGCUGUAGAUGUUGGGCAAGUUACUUAGCUUUUUAGCGCUCCAGUUUCUUCAUCAGUAACGUAGGAAUAGUAACAGUACCCACCUGAUACAGUUGUCAUGCAUCACUUCUUCUCUCCAAGUUUAAAAAUACCUUUCAAAAGAAACAAGGAGGAAAUUAACUUGCUAAGAUUAUAUACCUUGUAGCAGUUAAAAAAAAAAAAUCCCCAGAGAAGUUAAAUCAUCCAAAAUGAGGUUGGGAGAGGGAAGACGUGGAGGGGAAGACACUGAUGAAAAACUCUGGCUCCCGUCCUUCAGAAGAGGGUGAACUCUUGAGGGAACAGCACUGUGAGGAGGAAACUAGCAAAACACAGAGGAGGAAAGACCAUUAUGAAAGAAUAUUCAAAGUACUUUUAGGAAAUUCUCUGGAGGGAAGUAGGAAGGCAAGCGUCCUAUCUCAUGGUGAGGCAGAAAGAGAACUGGAGAGCAAUCAGAGAAUGGAGUUUUAUUUCUAAAUCUGACACUGGUAUCACCUUGGUCAACUGACCGCACCUGCCUCAGCCUCAUUUUCCUUAAAAUUAUCUCCAUGCACUCUACUCUCUUCAGCUCUCAUAAUCUUUGAUUCUAGCAAUCAGUACUCCAGUUCAGGAGAUCUGAUACUCACGGGUCCUUCCAUGAAGACACAUGAAAGUCUAUAGCAGGCAAAGCCCCUCCAUCAAUGAGGCAAAUCAAGGGAAUCCUAGAAGGCUGGUUGUGGAAUUGGGUUCUGAGGGCUCUGCUCUCUAGGGAACAAUUUGGCUUAGUUGUCUCUUUCAAAGUCAUGGAAUCACAGGAUUGCCCAAACUGGAAAGUACCCUGCACCCUCAUUCUGCAGGUUCGGAAAAGUCAAAUGACCUGGCCAAGGUCAUCCAGCAGAAUAUGGCAGAGCCAGGACUAGAGUUUGCCCACUGCCUCUGCUGUCUGUAAAUGCAGGGGCUCAAGGGCUAGAACACAGCAAGUGUGCCCUUACAUAUGACUUUUAAUUGAACAGUGUCUUGGACACAAGCAGGGCUGGGGCUAGGGUAAGGUAAAUGGGGCACUGGUGUCAGGAGCAAAAUUAAAGGCGGAGCAUAAAAAAACUCAGCAUUAAAACACAGUAUCUUUAAUGCACUACUAAAAAUUAAAAAUCCAUGAACAAAAUACACAAUAUAACAUUUUUAAAUAAAGACAGAAUUGGGGAGUUUCUGUCGUGGCUC